CUCCGUAGGUGAACCUGCGGAGGGAUCAUUACCGAGUUUACAACUCACCAACCCCUGUGAACAUACCUCUUGUUGCCUCGGCGGGACCGCCCCGGCGCCUUCGGGCUGCCGGACCCAGGCGCCCGCCGGAGGACCAUCAAACUCUUGUAUUUUAUUUCAGGAAUCUUCUGAGUAUACAAAACAAAUGAAUCAAAACUUUCAACAACGGAUCUCUUGGUUCUGGCAUCGAUGAAGAACGCAGCGAAAUGCGAUAAGUAAUGUGAAUUGCAGAAUUCAGUGAACCAUCGAAUCUUUGAACGCACAUUGCGCCCGCCAGUAUUCUGGCGGGCAUGCCUGUCCGAGCGUCAUUUCAACCCUCAAGCCCCUUUGGGCUUGGUGUUGGGGAUCGGCCCGCCCCGUGCGGCGCCGGCCCCGAAAUCUAGUGGCGGUUUCGCCUGCAGCCUCCUCUGCGUAGUAGCAAUAUCUCGCACCGGAACGCAGCGUGACCACGCCGUAAAACCCCCAACUUCUGAAAGGUUGACCUCGGAUCAGGUAGGACUACCCGCUGAACUUAAGCAUAU
rnacentral:rRNA from 1 species